GUAGGGCAGACACUGAAGGAAACUCAUCAUUUCACUCUCUUCCUCUGAACAUCUUCUCAGCUCUACUGGUUUCUUCUCUGUUUGUAGUUUCAGCACUUCCAGGAGGACGGAGGUCUUUCUCUGUGAGAGAUCUAUGAUCCAGACAUCAGGUGACUGGAAAACUGACUGUAAUGCUGGAAGGAAACUCCUGCCUGUUUGAGUCUCAUAGUUCUUCACAUGUUCAGUAAAAGUUGAAGCUUCACGAGUCCCAGCAUUGCAGAAGGACAACAGUUGAAUAAGCUCUACUGGUUUCUUCUCUGUUUGGAGUUUCAGCACUUCCAGGAGGACGGAGGUCUUUCUCUGUGAGAGAUCUAUGAUCCAGACAUCAGGUGACUGGAAAACUGACUGUAAUGCUGGAAGGAAACUCCUGCCUGUUUGAGUCUCAUAGUUCUUCACAUGUUCAGUAAAAGUUGAAGCUUCACGAGUCCCAGCAUUGCAGAAGGACAACAGUUGAAUAAGCUCUACUGGUUUCUUCUCUGUUUGGAGUUUCAGCACUUCCAGGAGGACGGAGGUCUUUCUCUCUGAGAGAUCUAUGAUCCAGACAUCAGGUGACUGGAAAACUGACUGUAACACUGGAAGGAAACUCCAGCCUGUUUGAGUCUCAUAGUUCUUCACAUGUGAGCAAAGAUCCAGCAGUGCAUCACACAGUUCUGGUUUGUUUCUGGGUCUCAGAUCAAAAAAGGAGCAACUGCA